GGCUCAAUGAUAUUCUGCUAUAUAUGCAGUAUACGCUAUUCCGACUUAUUACGUGAGCAGAUUUUUAAUUGUAGAUGAGAGCC
rnacentral:snoRNA from 1 species